UACGUAGGGGGCAAGCGUUGUCCGGAUUCAUUGGGCGUAAAGAGCGUGUAGGCGGCCAGGUAGGUCCGUUGUGAAAACUCGAGGCUCAACCUCGAGACGUCGAUGGAAACCAUCUGGCUAGAGUCCGGAAGAGGAGAGUGGAAUUCCUGGUGUAGCGGUGAAAUGCGCAGAUAUCAGGAAGAACACCCGUGGCGAAGGCGGUUCUCUGGGACGGUACUGACGCUGAGACGCGAAAGCGUGGGGAGCGAACAGG
rnacentral:rRNA from 1 species